rnacentral:rRNA from 1 species
CUACGGGGUGCUCCAGCGAGGAAUAUUGGUCAAUGGGCGCGAGCCUGAACCAGCCAUCCCGCGUGCAGGAUGACGGCCCUAUGGGUUGUAAACUGCUUUUCUAUGCCAAGAAACCUGAUUACGUGUAAUCAGUUGCCGGUAGCAUAGGAAUAAGCAUCGGCUAACUCCGUGCCAGCAGCCGCGGUAAUACGGAGGAUGCAAGCGUUAUCCGGAUUCAUUGGGUUUAAAGGGUGCGCAGGUGGGCUUGUAAGUCAGUGGUGAAAUGCUGCCGCUUAACGGUAGAACUGCCAUUGAUACUGCGAGUCUUGAGUAUGGUUGAGGUAGGCGGAAUGUGUUGUGUAGCGGUGAAAUGCAUAGAUAUGACACAGAACGCCAAUUGCGAAGGCAGCUUACUAAGCCAUUACUGACGCUGAGGCACGAAAGCGUGGGGAGUGAACAGGAUUAGAUACCCCCGUAGUC